UGAGGGCCGCGCGGGUGGCGCGCUUCCCGAGCGCACGCGCUGCGUUCCUUGCGCUGCCGUCCGCCUUGUCCGUGGAGCCGGGAACCCCGGCCGCUGCAUUUCAGUCCUGUGUCCUCCUCAGUAGCAUGAAUGUUAUCAGAGAACUAAUAUAGUUAUGAGGAUUUAAUGAGGUAAUACAUGUGACACUGAUGAUAAAAAUCCCUUCAAGAAUUUAGAUGUGACAUCUGCAGCAGGUUCAAAUCUCUCAGCUAUAAGACAAACUGGAUACUUCGUAAAGAUUUUCAUCUGUUAUGCACAGAGCCAAAAUCCGUUACUGAAAUUGUCUGGGUGAGCUGCCUGCUGGGUCCAGUGAUGCACUAGUAGACAAAGAAGUUGAAAGAGAAGGAUGGCAUAUUCUUUGGAUGACUGGCAGAUUGUGACACCAAAAUGGCAUCAAACCCUACUAUGAUUCCAAGGACUUCAUGAUUAAAUAAAAAUUGAUUUUUUUUAAAUUUAUAUUUUUUGGUUGGGAGGGCAUAGUUGAAGUAAAUUUGAUCUUUACUUGGGGAAUGUGUAAUGUUUUAUCAUUCCAUAAUGAUACAUGGUAAUUGCUUGGUAAUCAGACUUUAAAGGUUCUGUCUAUAUGGAACUUAUGUAGUUACCACCUUUUAGUAUUGGAUUCUCUUACUUUAAGGGAUCUAUGGUAAAGAAAAACAUCUGUUUAAACUAAAGAAAAUUAACUUAAAAAGGCUAAUUUAAAGACAAUCAUUUUUAUAAGAAAGUUUUUGCUUUGGGGGAUUUCUUGAAAUUUUGCUGUCCUACAGCAUAUAUAAAAUAUGUUCCUGGGGUGCCUGGGUGGCUCAUUCGGUUAAGUGUCUGACUACUGAUUUCAGCUCAGGGCAUGAUCUCAUGAGAUCAUGAGAUCUUAUGAGAUUGAGCCCUGUGUCGGGCUCACACUGGGCUUGAAGCCUGCUUAAGAUUCUCUCCUCUCCCUCUGCCCCUCACUCCCUCUCAUCCUCCCACCUCCCCCCAAAAAAAUUCUGUUUGCAAAAAGCUACUGUACCCAGAAUUUUCUAAGAAGACAUCCUUUUGUGUAGGCUCUUGAACUCAACAGUCAAAAACACAUUAUACAAUACUAGGUGUAUAGAACAGUUGAAUUAAAAAAUUAAUAUCUUAGGACCUGUAACUAAAUUCACUUAAAAUGGUUUAGAGAGCAGGUGUGAAUUGAAAAGAAACUUGUAUUUUCUAAGCCAUUGAAUCGUAAGAAAACUGGAACAUCAAAGUAUUCUCUGAACCAAAUCAAUAUUUUAUUUGUUUAGAGCUGCUGCUUUUGGUAUAUGUCUGUUUAUUCCAGUUGUAGAGGAUUUGAAAGCAGUUCUGGGAAAUGAAGUGGGUGGAUUCUCAAUGUUGAAUCCCUUUUUUUUUUUUUCCAGUGAAUCUUCAACAUUUUUUUUUUUUAUCUUAGCAUUCAACAAAAACUCUGGCAUCCCAGUAUAUAAAAUAUAGAUUACAUUUUAUAUAGUUCAUGUAG